rnacentral:rRNA from 1 species
GAGGUGGGAUCCCGGCCCCGUGGGCGCCGGGCGCACCACCGGCCCGUCUCGCCCGCAGCGUCGGGGAGGUGGAGCGUGAGCGCGCGCGAUAGGACCCGAAAGAUGGUGAACUAUGCCUGGGCAGGGC